CAGAACAGCUUCACUUAAUUGCUCACCUCAGUUUGCAUUUGUUGAAGAAGUUGCCUCUUGCGCCUGUUUCUGGAUACUCUUUCCUCCAUGGACGCCCAGUUUCUGACAACACAAAUACAGAGACAGUCACUGCUGAUGUUCUAUGCGGACCAAGCUAUGACUUGCGGGGACAUGUCGUCUACAUCAAAGGGCAGGUUGGAGUUCCAAAUGGACGGUUUUCCCAAAGCCACAUCCUGGGAGUAUCAAUGAGAAACACCAUAGGGCUGUUUAUUUGGAGCAUGCUAGGUUGGAGGGCCCCUGUUGCUGAGAGGAUGACGACAGGAAGAGGAUACCAUAGUGGUAAACUCAUGACUGUAUUAGAUAUCAUUUAGCACACUCAAAAUGUGAGGGGAAGCUACGUAUUGCUGCCAACGUAGAUUUUACUGCAGUUAUCUUAGGUUGUCAUUUAAAGUAUAUAUUUACUAAAGGAUGCGCAUUAGAAAUCAUGAAUCAGUGCCACCAAGAUCAGUCCUGAUGUUCAGGUUUCUGUUGAUUUCCUAUGAGACAGAACAGCAUUGUUUUUUGUUGUUGCUUAAUAUGAAGUAGUGCAGUUACUUUAUUUGUGGCAGCUGGUGUUUGGAAAUCAUCUUAUCUGUACCUGCUAAUGUCAUGAUCCCUUCACACUUUUUUAUAUGAGUUGUUUGUUUAACUCUUGGUAAUGGCUCACAGUGAGCAAAGCCUAUACUAGAAUCAGAGUUUAUUCCCUUUACUGCUCAUAUAAACAUCUUUUUCAGGGUUGCAUACAACUUUUCAAAAGUUCUGGUCUCUUUUUUUUUUUUUGGUGGGUUUUUGAUCAAUUCCUUGUAAAACUGCGUACAUGAUGUUUUGUUUUUCUGUGCAUGGAAAUAAAUGAGUAAAUGAGUUUUGACACAUGAUGGAGUAACUGACAAGUCAGAUUACUGGUCUCAGCUAUGCUCAGGAUCAGCAGGGUGUUGGCAACACCUCUGUGCAGACCAGGACAAACAAAAGAUCCAUAGCAUGUUUAAUGGAGAAUGGAAGGGCGACUGAUGAGAAGUAAACACUAUUGAGCAAUAUGAAAUAUGAUGAUUAGAUUUGCUUCAGAAAAGUAUAUUAUACUGGUGCAUACAUCUGUUCCAUUUCAAAUAUAAACAUGAUAAAACUAAGUCAUUAAAUGUUUAUGCUCUAGUUGUAAUGUGGAUGAGUUAUAUGCUUGCUGAUACAGCUACAAAUUGCACAGCAUGGCAAAAUCUCAGCCUUUUUGUAUGACACAAAGAAAUACAAAUGAACUUACUGGAGGUAUUGGUAUCUAGAUCAGGGAUUUUCAAACGAGUCCAGGGACCCAAA